AUUGAACGCUGGCGGCAGGCCUAACACAUGCAAGUCGAGCGGAUGACGGGAGCUUGCUCCCGGAUUCAGCGGCGGACGGGUGAGUAAUGCCUAGGAAUCUGCCUGGUAGUGGGGGACAACGUUUCGAAAGGAACGCUAAUACCGCAUACGUCCUACGGGAGAAAGCAGGGGACCUUCGGGCCUUGCGCUAUCAGAUGAGCCUAGGUCGGAUUAGGUAGUUGGUGGGGUAAUGGCUCACCAAGGCGACGAUCCGUAACUGGUCUGAGAGGAUGAUCAGUCACACUGGAACUGAGACACGGUCCAGACUCCUACGGGAGGCAGCAGUGGGGAAUAUUGGACAAUGGGCGAAAGCCUGAUCCAGCCAUGCCGCGUGUGUGAAGAAGGUCCUCGGAUUGUAAAGCACUUUAAGUUGGGAGGAAGGGCAGUAAGCGAAUACCUUGCUGUUUUGACGUUACCGACAGAAUAAGCACCGGCUAACUCUGUGCCAGCAGCCGCAGUAACAC
rnacentral:rRNA from 1 species